GGCUCUAAGCAAUACCUGCCUACUCAGUUACCUAUAUCUCCAUUGAUGUCGCGCCAGUGUUGGAUGGGGUGCGAGGUUUCUAACCGCUAAGCGAGCUGAAGAUACGGAGCGCCACAUUUCGGGAACUUGUGGCUCGAAAAUCAUUGCAUUUGAACCAUCCACCUGACAAGCAUCAGCAUGUCUACCCCCGACGGGCGCCCUGCCCGGCCUGAUGGAGCAGAUGCAGCAGAAGUUGGUCAAGUACCAGACGUGGCUGAAGAGCCGGCCACAGCAGGGCGCCGACCUGGAAGUCGUCCUGAAGUGGGUCUCCUACUACCUGGCAGGUCGGACCGAGUCGCGCGUCUCGGCCGUCUCCGAGCUCGUCU